CGGUGAUGGAGACGGCAGCUCAACAGGAGCGGUAGGAGGGUACCCGUGGAGGCCAAGUGAUUAAUUAGCUCUCAGGACUGCUGUGUCCAGAGUUGAUUCCUUCUGGUGGGUUCGUGGUGUUGCUGACUUGAAGAAUGAAGCCGCCGACCUUCACGAGCGCUGAUUGGUGUGUUUUACAGAGCAUGGAUUGGUGCGUUUUACAGAGCGCUGAUUGGUACAUUUCACAGAACUCGUGAGACAGUCGCAGGUGGCAUGAUUUGAUUUGUGUGAAGGCAAUGAAAUGAUACACAGAUACACCGAAGCCUCCCAAAAGAAUCCUGGUUCCAAGAUUCAAGAAGAUGGAUUAAUGUUUUUCCAUUAAUUGUUGGAAUUUAUGCCAUUUUUUUACUAUGUGCCAUCAAUUUUAAAGCACUUCUGAAAAGAGAUAACAAUCUACAAUAGCUGGCAUUUUAAAUUCAUAAAAAUAUAGUAUUUUCUUCUAUUUUUAUACAUUUAUGAUGCAUUAUUUCUUAUUUCCCAGGAAUUUUACUACCUUUGUUUUGAAUGAUUAAAAAGGAAACAUA
rnacentral:lncRNA from 10 species